AUGGCCCCUGUAGUCCAAAAGAUAGACAUCUACAAGGACGGAAUCCAGGGAACCCUUUUUAUACCAGCAGGUCCUGGACCAUUCCCUGCUGAGCUGGAGCUAUCUGGGGGAGGAGGGGGUCUGUUUGAGCAUCGCUCCUCCCUGUUAGCAUCCCAAAGCUACGUCUCCUUAGUGCUGCAGUACCCCACGGACGUCUCUACAACGGUUGCCAUAGGAUGCAAGUACUUUGAGGUAUUUGCACAGUUCAUUGGGGAAAAAGAUGCAAGAGGCCUGAAGUGUGUGUGCUCUGGAGUUUGUUGUGAACCUGCCGCCCCUACUUCAGACAGCCUUCACUAUGCUGAGACCAUCCUCAGGUGGCCAGUGAUAGAGGCUAUGUUUGGCUCCUCACUGGGAGUCCUUAUCCCUGGCCGUUUACUCUGAUGUCAUUAACAUGAUUAUUCCACACCUUCCUCUUUGAAAUUGACUUAUUUGAUUGAUAACCAGUUAAUUGGUGAACUCAAAUACUGUAAACAAUUAUUUUACAGGUGCUCUGUAGACACACCCCUCUCCUAUUUGCCAACAUAUUUAUUGAUAAUUCCCCUCUUUUCCAGCCCAGAUGUAUGGUGUGUAUAAGUGGCAGCCAUGUUUUCCCUUUCAGAUUGUCGCUUGUGUCAAUAGCUGACAAGUACAACACGUGAGUGUGUUUUAACAGAUUCUAAAGCAAUGGGAAAUGACCUCAUUUGGAAUGCACUGAAAUUAUAGUUGUAUUUUGCUCAAAUCUCUAGAAAGAUGCACUUUGAUGAGAACAACCAUUUGAUCUGGAGAGACACGAUCCAGCCCAUCACUGAGAGUGGCCCUAAAGUAGAGGUGAUGGUAUCUUUCAGACUGCAUUGUAUGCACACUAUACUGUAUGUAUUUGUAUGCACACUAUACUGUAUGUAUACAGUGAGGAACUGACAUGUUUGUGGACCUAUUUUUUGGCACCAUAGGUCAGGAGGUUAAAGUGUCCAUUACUGAUGGUCAUUGGAGAAGCUGACCAGAACUGUGCCACUGCAGAAUCUGUCCAGGAUGUAAGUACUGUACAUUUAAGUUAUUUAGUAGACAUUUGUCCAGAGCAACAGACAUGAGCAAUUAGGGUUAGUCAGUUUGGGGAUUCAAACUAGCAACCUUUCAGUUAAUGGCCCCACACUUUUAACCCCUAGGCUACCUGCCACUACCUGAUAAUGCAUACAAGUUGGCACACUAAAAGGCCUAUCCCAGAUAUCACCUGACCUCUGACCUCUAUGCACAGAUGCGCAGUACAGUAUGUUGGAGAGGGUAGGGAACCUGUGUCUUACCCUGGGGCUGGUCACCUGAUCAAACCUUUCUACACUCCUCACUUCCGCUCCAGCACCUCCAGGGGCAAAGGUGAGGGAUUUUACAGAGCAUCUCUCAUCUGCUCCGACUUACUGUAAGGCUAGAUCAAGGACACAGUCGAUAGUAUCACUAGACAUUACAUUACAAGUCUCUGAAAGGGAUUGUUUUUCAUGAGUAUUUUUACCCUACUGUAAAACUGUAAUGUGCUGUUGCAGUGAUAAUGUUGUGGAGAGAGCAGCCCAAAUGGAGGAGGCUCCUGGAGUUCCUUCAGAAGAACCUGUACCAAAGACAGGACCCCUCUGUCCCCUCAGAGCUGUGAGAUCCUCCUGGACUAUCUCCAUUAUAGUCGUUGCUUCUCCAGCUUCAUUAUCUGUCAGGGCCCUAUUCUUGAAAUUAAGUAGAGACAAUAUUGGUUGGAUUUGUUUUUACUCACCAGGUGGCAGCAUUGCACAGUCUCUUAAAUGACUGGUCUGCUGCUUGUAGUUGUCAUAGUAGUCAAUGUCCUGACAAUUACAAGGAGGAAGCAGAGGAGAUGGUCGACAUCGGCCUUUCAUCAAAGUCCUUAUAGGGAACCCUUUCUGUUUAAAGACCAUGGAUCAGACCUUGGGUUGAGUUGCGGUCUUCUAGCCAACCUGGUUGGAAUUCCAAACUCCUGUGAGGUAACAUGAAGUGUUAUUGAUAUCAGCUGAGUUGAAGAGAAUGAACACCGCUGCCUUUUAACUCUGAUCAACUGCAUACUUUUUUAUUUUUUAGAUGUCACCCAUAUAUUCUCACUCCAGAUUCCAUUCUGGCAAAGAGGACCGAUGGCCUAAACAUCUCCAUGUGUUGCACAUAUAUUAAACCAAUAGCCUGGUCUGGAUCUGCUUGUGCUGUGUUGCUCCUAUGGUCAUUGUGAUCCCAAACAAUCAUGCACAAACAGAUCUGGGACUACUUAGGCUACUAAACCAAUGCCUUGUCUAGUGAUGAAGGAUAAGUUCCCAAUCUGGCAACCUGCCAUGCCAUUAAACUAAGGCCUUGUCUAGUGAUGAAGGAAAAAUACCCAAUCUGGCAACCCGCCGUGCUGUUAAACCUUUACAGACUCAGCAGCCUUGUGGUGUGACUUGGCACCCCCC
rnacentral:lncRNA from 1 species